UACGUAGGGUGCAAGCGUUAAUCGGAAUUACUGGGCGUAAAGCGUGCGCAGGCGGUUUUGUAAGUCUGUCGUGAAAUCCCCGGGCUCAACCUGGGAAUUGCGAUGGAGACUGCAAGGCUAGAAUCUGGCAGAGGGGGGUAGAAUUCCACGUGUAGCAGUGAAAUGCGUAGAGAUGUGGAGGAACACCAAUGGCGAAGGCAGCUCGCUGGGACGGUAUUGACGCUGAGACGCGAAAGCGUGGGGAGCAAACAGG
rnacentral:rRNA from 1 species